GACGAACGCUGGCGGCGUGCUUAACACAUGCAAGUCGAACGGAAAGGCCCCUUUGGGGGUACUCGAGUGGCGAACGGGUGAGUAACACGUGAGUAACCUGCCCUUGACUUCGGGAUAACUUCAGGAAACUGGGGCUAAUACCGGAUAGGAAUCCUUGCUGCAUGGUGGGGGUUGGAAAGCUUCGGCGGUUUUGGAUGGACUCGCGGCUUAUCAGCUUGUUGGUGGGGUAGUGGCUUACCAAGGCUUUGACGGGUAGCCGGCCUGAGAGGGCGACCGGCCACAUUGGGACUGAGAUACGGCCCAGACUCCUACGGGAGGCAGCAGUGGGGAAUAUUGCACAAUGGGCGGAAGUCUGAUGCAGCAACGCCGCGGGCGGGAUGACGGCCUUCGGGUUGUAAACCGCUUUCAGCAGGGGCGAAGCUUGUGGUGACGGUACCUGCAGAAGAAGCACCGGCUAACUACGUG
rnacentral:rRNA from 1 species